rnacentral:rRNA from 1 species
AGGGAAUUUUCCACAAUGGACGAAAGUCUGAUGGAGCAACGCCGCGUGCAGGAUGAAUGCCUUCGGGUUGUAAACUGCUUUUAUCUGUGACGAAUAUGACGGUAGCAGAUGAAUAAGGAUCGGCUAACUCCGUGCCAGCAGCCGCGGUCAUACGGAGGAUCCAAGCGUUAUCCGGAAUUACUGGGCGUAAAGAGUUGCGUAGGUGGCAGAGUAUGUCUGUAGUGAAAGCGUGUGGCUCAACCAUAUACACAUUACAGAAACUGCUCAGCUAGAGGGCGAGAGAGGUUACUAGAAUUCCUAGUGUAGGAGUGAAAUCCGUAGAUAUUAGGAGGAAUACCGAUGGCGUAGGCAGGUAACUGGCUCGUCCCUGACACUAAGGCACGAAAGCGUGGGGAGCAAAC